GAUGAACGCUGGCGGCGUGCCUAAUACAUGCAAGUCGAGCGAACGGACGAGAAGCUUGCUUCUCUGAUGUUAGCGGCGGACGGGUGAGUAACACGUGGAUAACCUACCUAUAAGACUGGGAUAACUUCGGGAAACCGUAGCUAAUACCGGAUAAUAUUUUGAACCGCAUGGUUCAAAAGUGAAAGACGGUCUUGCUGUCACUUAUAGAUGGAUCCGCGCUGCAUUAGCUAGUUGGUAAGGUAACGGCUUACCAAGGCAACGAUGCAUAGCUGACCUGAGAGGGUGAUCGGCCACACUGGAACUGAGACACGGUCCAGACUCCUACGGGAGGCAGCAGUAGGGAAUCUUCCGCAAUGGGCGAAAGCCUGACGGAGCAACGACGCGUGAGUGAUGAAGGUCUUCGGAUCGUAAAACUCUGUUAUUAGGGAAGAACAUAUGUGUAAGUAACUGUGCACAUCUUGACGGUACCUAAUCAGAAAGCCACGGCUAACUACGUG
rnacentral:rRNA from 1 species